ensembl:lncRNA
GGCACAGAGGUGGGGUCUGGCGGGCAGAACCCAGGGUAUGCAGAUCCAAAAAAGGCUUGGUUCUGGUUCUUCUCCAUGAGAAUGGCAGCUCCCAUAUAGCGUCCUGAGUUUUACUCCAUUCUUCUUGGGGUGGCUUCUAUGCGUCCUGAAGAGGGCACGGCUGCCCCACUGGUUUUGCAUUUUCAAGAGAUGAUGGGCACGCUCAAGCUUCUCCUUGGCUGAUUCAUAGAAAAAGUCGUUGACGCCCUCCAGAGCCACAUCCUCUCCUUGGAAAUAGAAGCCCAGAGAGAGGACUAUAGUCAUUGCCACAUCUGGAAACUGUUCAUAGGUGCUGUCUCUGCUGCCACCUUCACGACAAGGGCUCCACUUGGUCCCAGAUUUGUAACAUCAUUUUCAAACUCAAAGUUUGGAGUUGAUGCAUCUGUUUGGCAGACUGGAUCAAACACCUGCAUCCCAUCUUUACAGAAGGCGAGGAAGCUGAACCCUAUAGGCAUUUCCACUAUGACAACUGGCAGAAUGUUAGGUUUGGCCAAUAGAGGGUGCUGGAAAGACACUGGGAAGCCAGAACAAGAGCAAGGACUUUCUCCUUCAGGUGGAUUGGCUUGCAGCAGAGGCCUGCUUGUGUUCACCUCAGCAAUCCUCGCGGUUCGCUUGUGCGGCCCCUGCCUCCAGCAAGUUUCUUCACCACAAGUGGACUGUGGACUGUAGGUUCCUGCGACAGCCAUGCCCUCUCCUCCUCAGCCAAGGGUAGCAGCUAUUCUUAUAGUUCCUGCUUCUAGACCCCUGAGAACCUACUCUCCCAUUUUUAGUAGUUAGAUACCUUUUACUGGUCAACAAAGUUUAUAUUAAAUUUUCCCUGUUCAAAUUACUAUUAUGAUUUCUGUCUUGUGGUUGGUCCCAGCAGAAAUACCUAGCAGAUAAGGGAAAAAAGACAGAUGUAAGUUAAUGUAAAUUCUGUGAGAGAAUAGGCCACUAUAAUCACAGCCCCAAAUCCAAAAAAGUUUCAGGUGUAAAUCUACAGAAUUAUGUAUCAGUUUGGAUUGUGUUCAACUGCACAUAACAGAAACCUGACUCAGUGGCUUAACCAAAUAGAUUGAUUUUCUCCUGUACCAUGA